rnacentral:rRNA from 1 species
UGGGGAAUUUUGGACAAUGGGCGAAAGCCUGAUCCAGCCAUGCCGCGUGCAGGAUGAAGGCCUUCGGGUUGUAAACUGCUUUUGUACGGAACGAAAAGACUCUGGUUAAUACCUGGGGCUCCGAUCGACGUACGUAAAGAAUAAGCGACCGGCUAACUACGUGCCAGCAGCCGCGGUAAUACGUAGGGUGCAAGCGUUAAUCGGAAUUACUGGGCGUAAAGCGUGCGCAGGCGGUUAUAUAAGACAGAUGUGAAAUCCCCGGGCUCAACCUGGGAACUGCAUUUGUGACUGUAUAGCUAGAGUACGGCGGAGGGGGAUGGAAUUCCGCGUGUAGCAGUGAAAUGCGUAGAUAUGCGGAGGAACACCGAUGGCGAAGGCAAUCCCCUGGGCCUGUACUGACGCUCAUGCACGAAAGCGUGGGGAGCAAACAGGAUUAGAUACCCUGGUAGUCCACGCCCUAAACGAUGUCAACU